UACGAAGGGGGCUAGCGUUGUUCGGAUUUACUGGGCGUAAAGCGCGUGUAGGCGGGUCGUUAAGUUGGGGGUGAAAUCCCGAGGCUCAACCUCGGAACUGCCUCCAAAACUGGCGACCUGGAGCAAGAUAGAGGCAAGUGGAAUUCCGAGUGUAGAGGCGAAAUUCGUAGAUAUUCGGAGGAACACCAGUGGCGAAGGCGACUUGCUGGAUCUUUGCUGACGCUGAGACGCGAAAGCGUGGGGAGCAAACAGG
rnacentral:rRNA from 1 species